rnacentral:rRNA from 1 species
CUUGUACACACCGCCCGUCACACCACGAAAGUCGGCAAUACCCGAAGCCGGUGAGCUAACCCCUCGUGGAGGCAGCCGUCGAAGGUAGGGUUGAUGAUUGGGGUG